rnacentral:ncRNA from 19 species
AAAACUUAAUGUCCGACCAGUGCCGCUGCUCUAAGGGCGGCGGAUAAUAGGGAACCGGGUGAGAAUCCCGGACGGUCCGACCACUGUAAACAGGGAGCACACCUGAGGGAUCCCAUUGAAGGAAGUCUGUCACAUGACAUGUCUGUGGCUUGUUUCUUUGAGAAGGGUCAGGUGCGCAGAGAUCUGUAAGCCAGGAAACCUGCUGGAUGGAAAAGAACAUGG